ACUGAACGCUGGCGGCAUGCCUUACACAUGCAAGUCGAACGGCAGCAUGGAGAGCUUGCUCUCUGAUGGCGAGUGGCGAACGGGUGAGUAAUGCAUCGGAACGUACCGUGUCAUGGGGGAUAACGUAGCGCAAGUUACGCUAAUACCGCAUACGACCGGAGGGUGAAAGCAGGGGAUCGCAAGACCUUGCGUUAUACGAGCGGCCGAUGUCAGAUUAGCUAGUGGGUGAGGUAAAGGAUCACCAAGGCGACGAUCUGUAGCGGGUCUGAGAGGAUGAUCCGCCACACUGGGACUGAGACACGGCCCAGACUCCUACGGGAGGCAGCAGUGGGGAAUUUUGGACAAUGGGGGCAACCCUGAUCCAGCCAUGCCGCGUGAGUGAAGAAGGCCUUCGGGUUGUAAAGCUCUUUCGGCCGGGAAGAAAUCGCACAGGCUAAUACUCUGUGUGGAUGACGGUACCGGCAUAAGAAGCACCGGCUAACUACGUGCCAGCCGCCGCCGUAA
rnacentral:rRNA from 1 species